CAGGAGCCGUCACUUCUGCCUGGAGCCUCAGCAUCAUAUCAGUGUUCACAAGAUGUCCCGCCCUCUUGUCAGCCUCCACCAAUCAGUGGCUCUUCAGGCAGAAGCACCAGGCCUCCCUCACGUCAGCUCCGUGCCAUCGGAGCGACCGUGACGCCGCGGCAAACCCAACGUGACGGCUGCCUUUUUGUCCCGUGCAGUCAGGACGCAGCGACCGGCCGGGGGACGAGUGUAAUCGCUCGGACAGGUGACACAUCAGAGGAAACCAGAAGAUGACGGGGGAGACGACUCGGAUCGUGUGACCUGCACCUCACACGCCUCCUCCUGAACUACGUGGAUGCUGCAGAAAUUUGAAGUGCCUGGAGUGAAUUUUACAGAAACACCCCUGGAGGAGGUGAAGAUGAGAUUAUUCCUGAGUAAAACUCCCUGAGUUGUGAUCCAUCACACCAACAUUGAUGUUAGAGUGUUCCAGCCCUCCUAAAUCAGAGCUCCAUCACUCCCGUCUCGUCCUCCUCCUCUCUGAGUUCAAGGUCGCCGUGCGGCUAUUUCCAGCUCGUCUUCGCUCUGAUCCGUGUCGCAAAAUGACAAGUCUUCUUUCAGCACCUGGCUCUAACGUCUACUUCCCCUCGGUGGCUGUCACAGCAGACCUGCCAGGAGAGCGUCCACUGAAGUCCUCCUGUCUGCAGCUUUUCACGCUUUACUUCCCCUACAAUUAAUUAAAGGGAUGAAAAGUCCCACGCAGCACCUCACCGCCGCCACUACCUUUGCCAGCUGUCAAAUUGGAGAGACGUGGAGUGGAGAAAAAAAAAAGGCCCGAGGCUGGGGCUAUUUAAGAGACCGAACAAUGUGGAGGGACACCAAGCAUACUGCUAGAAUGUCAGAGGGU